rnacentral:rRNA from 1 species
GAUGAACGCCGGCGGUGUGCCUAAUACAUGCAAGUCGAGCGCACUGGCCCAACUGAUAUGACGUGCUUGCACUGAAUUGACGUUGGAUUCCCAGUGAGCGGCGGACGGGUGAGUAACACGUGGGCAACCUGCCCUGAAGCGGGGGAUAACAUCUGGAAACAGGUGCUAAUACCGCAUAACAACGAAAACCACAUGGUUUUCGUUUCAAAGAUGGCUUCGGCUAUCACUUCAGGAUGGGCCCGCGGUGCAUUAGCUAGUUGGUAAGGUAACGGCUUACCAAGGCGAUGAUGCAUAGCCGAGUUGAGAGACUGAUCGGCCACAAUGGAACUGAGACACGGUCCAUACUCCUACGGGAGGCAGCAGUAGGGAAUCUUCCACAAUGGGCGCAAGCCUGAUGGAGCAACACCGCGUGAGUGAAGAAGGGUUUCGGCUCGUAAAACUCUGUUGUUGGAGAAGAACGUGCGUGAGAGUAACUGUUCACGCAGUGACGGUAUCCAACCAGAAAGUCACGGCUAACUACGUGCCAGCAGCCGCGGUAAUACGUAGGUGGCAAGCGUUAUCCGGAUUUAUUGGGCGUAAAGCGAGCGCAGGCGGUUGUUUAGGUCUGAUGUGAAAGCCUUCGGCUUAACCGAAGAAGUGCAUCGGAAACCGGGCGACUUGAGUGCAGAAGAGGACAGUGGAACUCCAUGUGUAGCGGUGGAAUGCGUAGAUAUAUGGAAGAACACCAGUGGCGAAGGCGGCUGUCUGGUCUGCAACUGACGCUGAGGCUCGAAAGCAUGGGUAGCGAACAGG